UACGUAGGGGGCAAGCGUUAUCCGGAUUUACUGGGUGUAAAGGGAGCGUAGACGGUUAUGCAAGUCAGAAGUGAAAGCCCAAAGCUCAACUUCGGGACUGCUUUUGAAACUGUGUAACUAGAGUGCAGGAGGGGUAAGCGGAAUUCCUAGUGUAGCGGUGAAAUGCGUAGAUAUUAGGAGGAACACCGGCGGCGAAGGCGGCUUACUGGACUGUAACUGACGUUGAGGCUCGAAAGCGUAGGGAGCAAACAGG
rnacentral:rRNA from 1 species